AGUGAACGCUGGCGGUAGGCCUAACACAUGCAAGUCGAACGGCAGCACAGUAAGAGCUUGCUCUUACGGGUGGCGAGUGGCGGACGGGUGAGGAAUACAUCGGAAUCUACUUUUUCGUGGGGGAUAACGUAGGGAAACUUACGCUAAUACCGCAUACGACCUACGGGUGAAAGCAGGGGAUCUUCGGACCUUGCGCGAUUGAAUGAGCCGAUGUCGGAUUAGCUAGUUGGCGGGGUAAAGGCCCACCAAGGCGACGAUCCGUAGCUGGUCUGAGAGGAUGAUAGGCCACACUGGAACUGAGACACGGUCCAGACUCCUAAGGGAGGCAGCAGUGGGGAAUAUUGGACAAUGGGCGCAAGCAUGAUCCAGCCAGACCGCGUGGGUGAAGAAGGCCUUCGGGUUGUAAAGCCCUUUUGUUGGGAAAGAAAAGCAGCAGGUUAAUACCCAGCUGUUCUGACGGUACCCAAAGAAUAAGCACCGGCUAACUUCGUG
rnacentral:rRNA from 1 species